AUUGCUUUUCUUUGAUCUUUUCUUAUUUUUUGUUUGAUGUAUUAUGUGGAGCUCUACAUUCUGCAGUUCCCCCGCUGAGGUGUUCAUGGCUGCAGUUUAGAGGGGGGGGAAUACUGUAUGCUUUACAAAUACCAGAUACAGUAUUUAUAAAGAUGACAUUGCAUCAAAACGUGACAUCACAAAGUAUGAUCAAGAUAUUGUUACCUGAUGAAAGGUUACUCCCCAUCCCACACCCGACAGACUCUUGUUUCCUGCUGAGAGGCGGGUGGCAGAGGGGCUGGUUUGGGGCCAUCUCCCUCAACUUCCAGAUCUGUUGUCUUGGGCCAAGGCAGAGCAGAAGCCAAUUCAGUGAUUUCAUCAGGAGGCCAGGCUGUGUCGAACUGGCAGGAUCCAGACACAUGGGAAAUCAGCGUUGGAUUCCAUGCAGAAAAUCAUACAGAGUUUGAUGUGCCCCAGAUGCAAGCAAACAAGUCUUCCAUCAAUGAGGAUCCUCCAGAAUUUGGUCGCCCCUCCUUCAAAGCUGGAGGAUGUCCCAAAUAAUAAUAGGCCAGGUCCUCAGCAUCUUCAUUCAGAAAGAUCAGGUAGCAGAUGGGAGGAAAAAUGCCUUUCUCUGUCUGUAUCCCUGAUGAGCAGUUGAUGGGGAGAGUAGAGAGCAUUGGGGCUCAGGAGGCAAUGCAUGCAACCUGCUGAAUAAGACAGGCUCCUAAUGUCUCAUUUCCUAGUUAGUCUGUGACUCCAGCAGCCGCUGGCGUGGUGCUUCUCAGAUUGGACCGAACCCAGCGAGAUAUGUUUUGUGGCACAAGGUUGCUAUCCUGGGGCUUUUGGAUAACUUGCUGUUUUCCUCCAGACGGCAGAUUAUCGUUGGCAAGUUCGACCGUAUCGAAUGCAAAAAUUCUUGUGUACUCCUUGACUUACAGUAAAAGUCAAGAAGGCUGUUCCUGUCAUGAUGUGAAUCUGGGGAGGUUAAGAAGGACAAUAAAAGAAAAGAGGCCAAAGGCGAGUAAUUCA
rnacentral:lncRNA from 1 species